GAUGAACGCUGGCGGCGUGCCUAAUACAUGCAAGUCGAGCGAACAGACGAGGAGCUUGCUCCUCUGACGUUAGCGGCGGACGGGUGAGUAACACGUGGAUAACCUACCUAUAAGACUGGGAUAACUUCGGGAAACCGGAGCUAAUACCGGAUAAUAUAUUGAACCGCAUGGUUCAAUAGUGAAAGACGGUUUUGCUGUCACUUCUAGAUGGAUCCGCGCCGCAUUAGCUAGUUGGUAAGGUAACGGCUUACCAAGGCGACGAUGCGUAGCCGACCUGAGAGGGUGGUAGCCCACCCUGGAACUGAGACACGGUCCAGACUCCUACGGGAGGCAGCAGUCGGGAAUCUUACGCAAUGGGCGAAAGCCUGACGGAGCAACGCCGCGUGAGUGAUGAAGGUCUUCGGAUCGUAAAACUCUGUUAUUAGGGAAGAACAAAUGUGUAAGUAACUAUGCACGUCUUGACGGUACCUAAUCAGAAAGCCACGGCUAACUACGUG
rnacentral:rRNA from 1 species